AGUGAACGCUGGCGGUAGGCCUAACACAUGCAAGUCGAGCGGCAGCACAGUAAGAGCUUGCUCUUACGGGUGGCGAGUGGCGGACGGGUGAGGAAUACAUCGGAAUCUACUUUUUCGUGGGGGAUAACGUAGGGAAACUUACGCUAAUACCGCAUACGACCUACGGGUGGAAGCAGGGGAUCUUCGGACCUUGCGCGAUUGAAUGAGCCGAUGUCGGAUUAGCUAGUUGGCGGGGUAAAGGCCCACCAAGGCGACGAUCCGUAGCUGGUCUGAGAGGAUGAUCAGCCACACUGGAACUGAGACACGGUCCAGACUCCUACGGGAGGCAGCAGUGGGGAAUAUUGGACAAUGGGCGCAAGCCUGAUCCAGCCAUACCGCGUGGGUGAAGAAGGCCUUCGGGUUGUAAAGCCCUUUUGUUGGGAAAGAAAAGCAGCAGGUUAAUACCCCGCUGUUCUGACGGUACCCAAAGAAUAAGCACCGGCUAACUUCGUG
rnacentral:rRNA from 1 species